UGAGUAACACGUAUCCAACCUGCCGUCUACUCCUGACAGCCUUCUGAAAGGAAGAUUAAUACAAGAUGGCAUCAUGAGUCCGCAUGUUCACAUGAUUAAAGGUAUUUCCGGUAGACGAUGGGGAUGCGUUCCAUUAGAUAGUAGGCGGGGUAACGGCCCACCUAGUCUACGAUGGAUAGGGGUUCUGAGAGGAAGGUCCCCCACAUUGGAACUGAGACACGGUCCAA
rnacentral:rRNA from 1 species